rnacentral:lncRNA from 1 species
CCUUGAAAAAAUUCUUUAUUCUUUUGACUAGCCUUUUCUUUUGCAAUACAUUCAGAUAUGUAGUGAUCAGUUUUACCACAGUGUGUGCAAAUUAUGUUCUCAAGAAGUGUAAGGUACUUGCUUUUGUGAUCCCAUUUAGGUGCAAGGUUCUCGUAGCCAAGUCCUCUUUUAUUGCUACUAUGGUGUUCAUGUAGCCAUGAAAGUGCAUCAGAGGACCUGUUCCAUUUACAGGUUCUGUCUAGCUCGGGAUUAACCUUGUUUAGAUCCUCUUUAAGGACUCUUAUCUGCUCAUCUCUUUCGUACAACUCAUCUUUUAUUUUUCCUACAUUCUCUUCUAAAGUGAGUUGUGUGUGAUCAGCUUUCUUUUUACUAAUUCCUAAUUUCAAUUUAAAAUUUUCAGAUCUAAGCUCUAGGACAGUGGUGUCAAG